rnacentral:rRNA from 1 species
GACGAACCGUCCAAACGUUAUUCGGAAUCACUGGGCUUAAAGGGUGCGUAGGCGGCCCGGGAAGUUGGGUGUGAAAGCCCUCGGCUCAACCGAGGAAUUGCGCCCAAAACUGCCGGGCUUGAGGGAGACAGAGGUGAGCGGAACUAAGGGUGGAGCGGUGAAAUGCGUUGAUAUCCUUAGGAACACCAGGAGCGAAAGCGGCUCACUGGGUCUCUUCUGACGCUGAGGCACGAAAGCUAGGGGAGCGAACGGG